UUCUAUAACUGUCACACCCUCAUAACAUCACACCCAAGUUUCUAUAACUGUCACAUCCUCAAAACAUCAUACCCAAGUUUCUAUAACUGUCACACCCUCAUAACAUCACACCCAAGCUUCUAUAACUGUCACAACCUCAUAACAUCACACCCAAGAUUCUAUAACUGUCACACCCUCAUAACAUCACACCCAAGUUUCUAUAACUGUCACACCCUCAUAACAUCACACCCAAGUUUCUAUAACUGUCACAUCCUCAAAACAUCAUACCCAAGUUUCUAUAACUGUCACACCCUCAUAACAUCACACCCAAGUUUCUAUAACUGUCACAACCUCAUAACAUCACACCCAAGAUUCUAUAACUGUCACACCAUCAUAACAUCACACCCAAGUUUCUAUAACUGUCACACCCACAUAACAUCACACCCAAGUUUCUAUAACUGUCACACCCUCAUAACAUCACACCCAAGUUUCUAUAACUGUCACAACCUCAUAACAUCACACCUAAGUUUCUAUAACUGUCACACCCUCAUAACAUCACACACAAGUUUCUAUAACUGUCACACCCUCAUAACAUCACACCCAAGUUUCUAUAACUGUCACACCCUCAUAACAUCACACCCAAGUUUCUACAACUGUCACAACCUCAUAAAAUCAUACCCAAGUUUCUAUAAAUGUUACACCCUCAUAAACAUUAAACCCAGUUUCUUGAACUGUCACACCCAAGUUUCUAUAACUGUUACACCCUCAUAACAUCACAUCCAAGUUUCUAUAACUGUCACACCCUCAUAACAUCAUUAUACCUAAGUAGUGGAAGGGGCAUUAAGAU
rnacentral:lncRNA from 1 species